GCGGGCACGUCUGAGAAUUUAUUCUCAUUGUUUGUGACGGAAUUGAAACAAAAUUAAAUCUAACUAAAAGGAAAUCGAACAUCAGCCGAAUACAUGUGGGAAAACUAAUAAAUCAAACUUAAAUAUAUCUGGAGACGUAUUCAUAUAAAAGAAUUAUAUUUGCCGGCAGCGCGACGUUUCCGCUCGUUUCAAUUCCGUCACAUACCCAUUUAGUAACUUAGCCACGUAGUCAAUUAGUCACCUUGCAUAACUUUACAUCACUUGAAGUAUGUACCAGCUGUAUUAUUAGCAAGUCUGCCAUGGUUCACUCAUAGAGUGUGCUGUUUUUGUUGGAGAAAACCACUACCUGAGUUGACAACAUCCAGGAUUUUCCAAUAAGACUUACCCACCACAGCAGCCAACUAGCUUUGUUGUGCCAAGAGAAUUUUUCCCAAGGACUUUCAUUUUUUUACAAUCGGCUGUUGUACAAGCUAAGUUCUUAUUUACUUUUAUUAUUUACUUUUGGAUAAUCUAGAUUUGUUACAGUGUAAACUUAUUAUGUGCAUACAAUCAAGUAAAGUAGGUGGUACAUUUUUUCGUGAUAAAUAGGGUUUUUGGUCAUUGUUUUUUUUUGUUUGAGUCAAUAUAGGUAAUAGUCUUUUGUUUAAAUAAAUAAAAUCAGGUCAUUAUAAAAAUUGUAGCUUAAAAUUUGAUAGGGAAUCGGGGGUAAAAUUUUGUCGAGGUUUUUAAAUAGGGAAUAUGUCUAGUAGGUUUUUACAUUGUAUAUAAAGAGUCACUGACCAACUCAUUAUAUAAGUAAUUUUGCUAUGUGAAAUACUUAUUUUUUUUGCAACUGUAGCUGUUCUUGUCGUGUACCUAUCUCACUCUAGGCUAGUUCAAUUUAGGGAAUAAUUACUAACUUUUUAGUUGUAAGGACUUUGUGCGACUCUAACGGACUUUUGAUUUGGAUUUUGAUAUUAAUACCUUUGCUUGGCCCAGUGAUAGUGGAUAAUUGCUUGUUAAGUAGCCUUUGCGAUCCUAUUUAAUCUUUUCACCAUCCACUAUCACUGUUAUUAAGUUGCGUUAUAUGUAAAUUGUUAAUAUAUAACAUAUUUAUUGUUAAUAUAUUUGUUAUUA
rnacentral:lncRNA from 1 species